AUGGUGUCUCUCCAACAACUGGUGCUUCUCAAGCUGAUGCUACCUCUCAAGCAGCCAAGGCAUCUAUGUCAGCUCGCAGUCCAUCACCAGAAUAAGACAAGAGCCAAAGUGCUAACCCUUCUCGUCAGUAGGAUGAUGCCCAAAACAACAAUCAAUGGAUAACCAAUUUUGAUGGUCUAAUGGCAAAUCUCAUACAAGUCCUGACCGGACUGGUGCAAUAGAUGGAAUGGCAAGAAAAUAGAAGUGGCCAAUCGUCAAGGUUUGAACAAGGAAUAGGAGAGUUUAAGAG
rnacentral:lncRNA from 1 species